CAGGACUUUAACAACUCGAUACAGUCUGAUAUCACGUUUCUGUAUGUAUGUGAGAGAAUUAACUACGUGUUAUUACCCUGGGGUGAUUCAAGAUGGAGCUAUCUUGCCUACUUGGCAGGGGUUUCAAUAAAAGCCGGUUACCAGCAGUCUAUUGCCACCUGUAGGACCUCUUACCACCGUCUGUUUGGAUUUCAUUACUGAAAAUAAAAAUGAUAUUAAUA